rnacentral:rRNA from 1 species
UACGAAGGGGGCUAGCGUUGUUCGGAUUUACUGGGCGUAAAGCGCACGUAGGCGGAUCGUUAAGUCGGGGGUGAAAUCCUGGAGCUCAACUCCAGAACUGCCUUCGAUACUGGCGAUCUUGAGUCCGGAAGAGGUGAGUGGAACUCCUAGUGUAGAGGUGGAAUUCGUAGAUAUUAGGAAGAACACCGGUGGCGAAGGCGGGUCUCUGGGCCAUUACUGACGCUGAGGAGCGAAAGCGUGGGGAGCGAACAGG